rnacentral:rRNA from 1 species
CAGCAGCCGCGGUAAUACGUAGGGCGCGAGCGUUGUCCGGAAUUAUUGGGCGCAAAGGGAGCGCAGGCGGGCGAGUAAGUCUUUCUUAAAAGUGCGGGGCUCAACCCCGUGAGGGGAGAGAAACUACUCAUCUUGAGUGCAGGAGAGGAAAGCGGAAUUCCUAGUGUAGCGGUGAAAUGCGUAGAUAUUAGGAAGAACACCAGUGGCGAAGGCGACUUUCUGGACGAAAACUGACGCUGAGGCGCGAAAGCCAGGGGAGCGAACGGGAUUAGAUACCCGAGUAGUCCCUGUCUCUUAUACA